rnacentral:rRNA from 1 species
UAAAGACCUUUUUCGGAAGGUAUGCUUAAAGAGGGGCUUGCGGCACAUUAGUUAGUUGGUAGGGUAAAGGCCUACCAAGACUAUGAUGUGUAGCUGGACUGAGAGGUUGAACAGCCACAUUGGGACUGAGACACGGCCCAAACUCCUACGGGAGGCAGCAGUAGGGAAUUUUCGGCAAUGGAGGAAACUCUGACCGAGCAACGCCGCGUGAACGAUGAAGUAUUUCGGUAUGUAAAGUUCUUUUAUUGAAGAAGAAAAAAUAGUGGAAAAACUAUCUUGACGCUAUUCAAUGAAUAAGCCCCGGCAAACUAUGUGCCAGCAGCCGCGGUAAUACAUAGGGGGCAAGCGUUAUCCGGAAUUAUUGGGCGUAAAGGGUGCGUAGGCGGUUUAAUAAGUCUAUAGUUUAAUUUCAGUGCUUAACACUGUUCUGCUAUAGAAACUAUUAAACUGGAGUGAGAUAGAGGCAAGUGGAAUUCCAUGUGUAGCGGUAAAAUGCGUAAAUAUAUGGAGGAACACCAGAGGCGUAGGCGGCUUGCUGGGUCUUUACUGACGCUGAGGCACGAAAGCGUGGGGAGCAAACAGGAUUAGAUACCCUGGUAGUCCACGCCGUAAACGAUGAGUACUAAGUGUCGGGGUUACUCGGUACUGAAGUUAACACAUUAAGUACUCCGCCUGAGUAGUACGUACGCAAGUAUGAAACUUAAAGGAAUUGACGGGACUCCGCACAAGCGGUGGAUCAUGUUGUUUAAUUCGAAGAUACACGAAAAACCUUACCAGGUCUUGACAUACUCUGCAAAGCUAUAGCAAUAUAGUGGAGGUUAUCAGGGAUACAGGUGGUGGCAUGGUUGUCGUCAGCUCGUGUCGUGAGAUGUUAGGUUAAGUCCUAAAACGAGCGCAACCCUUGUCACUAGUUGCCAGCAUGUUAUGAUGGGCACUUUAGUGAGACUGCCAAUGAAAAAUUGGAGGAAGGUGAGGAUCACGUCAAAUCAUCAUGCCCCUUAUGAUCUGGGCUACAAACGUGAUACAAUGGCUGUUACAAAGAGUAGCUGAAACGCAAGUUAAUAGCCAAUCUCAUAAAAACAGUCUCAGUUCGGAUUGAAGUCUGCAACUCGACUUCAUGAAGUUGGAAUCGCUAGUAAUCGCGAAU